rnacentral:rRNA from 1 species
GAUGAACGCUGGCGGCGUGCCUAAUACAUGCAAGUCGAGCGAACAGACGAGGAGCUUGCUCCUUUGACGUUAGCGGCGGACGGGUGAGUAACACGUGGGUAACCUACCUAUAAGACUGGGAUAACUUCGGGAAACCGGAGCUAAUACCAGAUAAUAUUUCGAACCGCAUGGUUCGAUAGUGAAAGAUGGCUUUGCUAUCACUUAUAGAUGGACCUGCGCCGUAUUAGCUAGUUGGUAAGGCAACGGCUUACCAAGGCAACGAUACGUAGCCGACCUGAGAGGGUGAUCGGCCACACUGGAACUGAGACACGGUCCAGACUCCUACGGGAGGCAGCAGUAGGGAAUCUUCCGCAAUGGGCGAAAGCCUGACGGAGCAACGCCGCGUGAGUGAUGAAGGUCUUCGGAUCGUAAAACUCUGUUAUUAGGGAAGAACAAACGUGUAAGUAACUGUGCACGUCUUGACGGUACCUAAUCAGAAAGCCACGGCUAACUACGUG